rnacentral:rRNA from 1 species
GGGGGGGGGGGGGGGGGGGGGGGGGGGGGGCGGGGCGGGGGGCGGCGCGGUGAGGGCGUGCUCUUGCGGGUGGCGAGUGGCGGACGGGUGAGGAAUACAUCGGAAUCUACUUUUUCGUGGGGGAUAACGUAGGGAAACUUACGCUAAUACCGCAUACGACCUACGGGUGAAAGCAGGGGAUCUUCGGACCUUGCGCGAUUGAAUGAGCCGAUGUCGGAUUAGCUAGUUGGCGGGGUAAAGGCCCACCAAGGCGACGAUCCGUAGCUGGUCUGAGAGGAUGAUCAGCCACACUGGAACUGAGACACGGUCCAGACUCCUACGGGAGGCAGCAGUGGGGAAUAUUGGACAAUGGGCGCAAGCCUGAUCCAGCCAUACCGCGUGGGUGAAGAAGGCCUUCGGGUUGUAAAGCCCUUUUGUUGGGAAAGAAAAGCAGCAGGUUAAUACCCCGCUGUUCUGACGGUACCCAAAGAAUAAGCACCGGCUAACUUCGUG